UACGUAGGGGGCUAGCGUUGUCCGGAUUUAUUGGGCGUAAAGAGCGUGUAGGCGGCCAGGUAGGUCUGCUGUGAAAACUCGAGGCUUAACCUCGAGAUGUCGGCGGAAACCAUCUGGCUAGAGUCCGGAAGAGGAGAGUGGAAUUCCUGGUGUAGCGGUGAAAUGCGCAGAUAUCAGGAAGAACACCCGGUGGCGAAGGCGGGUCUCUGGGCCGGAUGACUGACGCUGAGGAGCGAAGACGUGGGGAGCGAACAGGAUUAG
rnacentral:rRNA from 1 species